AUGAUCUGCUUCGAUUGUGGUGGACCGGGGCACUACGUUGGGAAUUGUGUGAAGCCUAAGGCCUGUUUUAUCUGUCAGCAAAAUCAUAAUGUCAAUAAUUGUGCAGCUUGGUCUAAGGUUCAGCCUACUGUUGCCUUUUUUGGUAGUGGAGCUCAAGGUCUUGGUUUUUCCCAUGUGGAUGUCCCUGUUGCAAAUGAAUCCAAGUGGCUGAACUUCCAAAACUGUGCAGUGGUUAACAUUCUAAAAGGAGAAGUGAAUGGUACUAAGCUAAGGGAAUUGCUUUCUGCUACUUUUUGCAAAUCUAAAAGUUGGCCCUAGCAAAUCAGAGGGCUAUCUAGUAAGACUUUCUUGGUUAGGUUCCCUCCCUGGAAAAAAGUGGAAGAUCUCAUUGAGCUGCCUGGGUUUUCCCUGCCACAGGAUGUCAAUGUGACUCUUACUGAAUGGAAAGGUGGAUGUGAACCAUUUGGUGAAUUGAUUGAAGCUUGGGUGCUGAUUGAAGGGAUUCCUCCCAAGUGGUGUACUUGGAAAGUGUUUGCUCAAAUUGCCUCACUGUUUGGAGCUCUUACAGAUGUGGAUUGGAAUGGUAUGUUUAGAACUUUUUUUGAGAAUGUCAGAGUCAAGAUUGCUUGCAGAGACCCUACCAAAAUUCCUUUUGAAAGACUGAUUGAGAUGAAGAAGAAAUUGUUUUUACUUGGCUUUACAGUGGAAGGUUUUGAA
rnacentral:rRNA from 1 species